rnacentral:rRNA from 1 species
UUGUGCGGCCCAGCCUCCUUGUCAAAGUCUAAUCUCGUCAGAUCUCAGAAGCUAAGCAAAGCCGGGCCUGGUUAUUACUUGGAUCGGAGACCACUAUUGUUGUGUCCU